rnacentral:tRNA from 1 species
CCGAUAUAGCUCAGUUGGUAGAGCAACUCAUUCGUAAUGAGUAGGUCGGGAGUUCGAGCCUCCCUAUCG